rnacentral:rRNA from 1 species
AUUGAACGCUAGCGGGAUGCCUUACACAUGCAAGUCGAACGGCAGCACGGACUUCGGUCUGGUGGCGAGUGGCGAACGGGUGAGUAAUGUAUCGGAACGUGCCCAGUAGCGGGGGAUAACUACGCGAAAGCGUAGCUAAUACCGCAUACGCCCUACGGGGGAAAGCAGGGGAUCGCAAGACCUUGCACUAUUGGAGCGGCCGAUAUCGGAUUAGCUAGUUGGUGGGGUAACGGCUCACCAAGGCGACGAUCCGUAGCUGGUUUGAGAGGACGACCAGCCACACUGGGACUGAGACACGGCCCAGACUCCUACGGGAGGCAGCAGUGGGGAAUUUUGGACAAUGGGGGAAACCCUGAUCCAGCCAUCCCGCGUGUGCGAUGAAGGCCUUCGGGUUGUAAAGCACUUUUGGCAGGAAAGAAACGUCAUGGGUUAAUACCCCGUGAAACUGACGGUACCUGCAGAAUAAGCACCGGCUAACUACGUGCCAGCAGCCGCGGUAAUACGUAGGGUGCAAGCGUUAAUCGGAAUUACUGGGCGUAAAGCGUGCGCAGGCGGUUCGGAAAGAAAGAUGUGAAAUCCCAGAGCUUAACUUUGGAACUG